AUCAUACCUGAGUAACCUCCCACACAUUUCCUCCCCUUAGCCUGACUCAUAAUCCCCUUAUACAGCACACAAAUUCCCCAAGUUUCUGGAUGUACCCCUAAACCUAGGGGUACCCCUUUUUGUUACAUCCCUGGUAACCCUGACAUGGGUGAGAGACAUAUCCAAAAAUCACCCAGAUCGAACCAGGGGUUUGGGAAAUCUAUG